rnacentral:tRNA from 1 species
GCCCUAGUAGUAUAACUAUUACCAUGGUCUUGUAAACCAUAAAUGAACCAACUACGCUUCCUAGGACA